rnacentral:rRNA from 1 species
AUGCGGGAGGCAGCAGUGGGGAAUUUUCCGCAAUGGGCGAAAGCCUGACGGAGCAAUACCGCGUGAGGGAUGACGGCCUACGGGUUGUAAACCUCUUUUUUCAAGGAGGGAAAAUUUCAAAGCGAAAUCAUGACGUGUACUUGAAGAAUAAGCAUCGGCUAACUCCGUGCCAGCAGCCGCGGUAAGACGGAGGAUGCAAGUGUUAUCCGGAAUCACUGGGCGUAAAGCGUCUGUAGGCGGUUUAGUAAGUCAACUGUUAAAUCUUGGGGCUUAACCUCAAAACUGCAGUCGAAACUACUAGACUAGAGGAUAGUAGGGGUAAAGGGAAUUUCCAGUGGAGCGGUGAAAUGCGUAGAGAUUGGAAAGAACACCGAUGGCGAAGGCACUUUACUGGGCUAUUACUAACACUGAGAGACGAAAGCUAGGGUAGCAAAUGGGAUUAGAUACCCCUGUAGUCA